CGUGACGUCACGGGCCACCCGCCAGCCCCGCGCUCUACCAGGCAGAGCGCGUGUGGCCGCCGAGCACAUGGACCCACUGGUCAAGCGGGCUCGGCAAGGCCAGGAUGAAGAGAAGCUACGAACUUAGCAUUCCCAGAGCCCCCCGAGUGGAUAUCCGCGUGGAAAGGAUGUUGGCAGCCCCGGUGACCUCGGAGUCACGGCUGGAUCCACCCUCUUGUCUGAUUUUCUUAACUCUACUACGGUAAGAAGAUGCCCUCCAUCAGCAGGCCGUGUCUGCUGGGACCUCUCUGGAGACUUCCUGAACCCUGUGGAUUUACAGUAAGAUGCAGUUUCCUGGGGAGUAAUUCUGGUGGAUACAAAUUCCGGAGUAUUACACCUGGCUUGCCUGGAGAUGUUACAAGUAGCUGGAUGGAUUCUUCAGCCUGGAUGCCCACUGAAAACAAGGACCGAAACUAAGAGGAUUGUAUCUCUACCCUUGACUCAAUGAGAAUGUUUGUUGUCAUCUCUCGGGCUACCUGGAGCUCCCUCUAAAAUAGAGCCGAGUUCUGUCACCACAGACAUUGGCAGUGGCACUUGCAUGCCCCUGGCAAGCAGUCUAUCCUGAGGUGGAGGAAGUUGCCCUUGAGUUCUGGCUGGUAACCAGCACAGGGGCUGGGACACUGCCUGAUUGAGGUGGCCAUUGAGAAUUCAAGUGUACCUCUUGGUCCCUGAUGCAGAAAUGAAGUCCCCAGCAUGCUCAAGAAGAGCUUCCUUGGAGGAUGAGAGGCAUGGGAAUCUAAGUAUACCCUUUAAGCGUUCCAGAAGGAUUUUGAGAUCCUUUCCUAAAUCAAAGGUGGAAUAUUUGGGGAUUUGGAAAAUUGAGAUGUGAAGCGUUGACUUAAGAGAUGCCAAGUAACUCAGCAGAUGUCACACAGACGAUAAAUAGCAAAGAUGGAAGUCUUCAUGCCGGAGGCAAUCCUAUAAGACAGCUGAGUUCUGCAGAGCUGGUAGGAGACAGACUUGCUCAGGUGAUAGAUCCAGCCAUGAUACUGACCCUAAGAGAAUGAGACGCUCUGCAGAAGACAGAAGAUUCCUGAAACUGGGAAAGGUGCCUAGAAAUCCUGAUAAGAGUGAAGAAGGAGCUGGCAGAGCAGCCUUCCUCCGCACUAUGAAAGACAUCCAACAGAGAGCAAGUUCCCACCUCACUUCCAGCUUGACUCCUUUUUAUCUCCUAACUGUGGUCUGUGAUGUCUUCAGCAAUGGUAUUAACUAGUUCUGGGUACCUGGAGGCACAGCAGCCAUGUUGAACCUAUGAGGUGAUGAAAAACCAUGCAACUAGAAACCAGAAUGGAAGAAAAGAAGAAGCUGGAUCCUUGACUGAAUUGUCGAUGGGGGAUAGUCCAUCAUCCCAGGGCUAAGACCACCUCCAGAUUUCUUGUUUGGUGAAACAAGUCCUGAUUGUUUACAUUCCCUCGUGUUGAGCUGUCUCUUGCUUGUAGCUGAAAGCAUUUCUAAUAGAUAUUCAGAUUAUCAGCCUUAGCUCCAAGCUAGAAUACUCUAUGGGACCUUAGCUUCUCCAUGAAUUCCUUUGCUCAUCUGUGUAAUGCUCAAUAAAUGUAAAUUGAACCCUGAAUGAGGGACAAUGACACUAUUGAAGUCAUGAUUGUCAAUCUUAUUAACGGACUAACUACUUAACAAAAAGGUUGGAACACUGCCUGACGCACAGUAAGCGGCUGGGGAAAGGGUUUGCCAAAUGGAGUGACAAGAAAACAGUCAUGUUUAUAGGCUUUCUUUUACAUCUUGAUCCAUCUUCAAGCCUCUGUGGUCUUUAAGCAGAACCUUGACCCCUUCAGUACUGGGGCUCCUGGAGCAUGACACGCCCCCUAAACUCUUGUCUCAAAACACCCACUCUAGCAGUUUCUUUUUGACAAAAAAAAAGCCUUCUUAGUGAAUGCUGGCUUGUGAAAAAGAAGGGGCUGUGAUCAUCAAAUCGUGUUAGUAGAUGACCAAAAUACCCAAAGCAAUUCAUGCAAAUAGAUUCAAGUCUCUCUGGGCAAGCCUUCCUGAAGGCUCUAGAAUUUCUGAAGCUCAUUUUUGAAAGGGUCUUUCCAUAUGGUGGCCUUUUUCUUUUUUGCACCUCCUCCCUUCUUUCUCAUCAGAGCUAAAGGGAUGCUCAGACUCUCUGUCCUUUCUGUGUAGUGAGGGACCAGGCUGCUGGGCGAGUGUGAAGGAGCGAGUGUGAUUUGGGAUAUUCUUUUCUGGUAUGGCAAUGGCCAGCCUUUAGAGAGGUCAUUUGAAGUUGGCCAACAAGUAGACAUUAUUUCAAAAUAGUUCUUGAUCAUUAAAGAACCAACCAGUAUGUCUUAAAAACAAACAAACCAAUCUUUUGGAAAGUUUCUGCUGAAUGUGUGCCCUUCCGACUCACUUCUUAUCCUUUCUGUCAGAAACACCCCAGAAAAGGGGGUCUUGCCUUUGAACCACUCUGCUACUUUAAUCUUCCUGCUUCUGUCUGACCUACCUUCCUUCUUUCAGUAGCCAGGAUCCUUUCAGAGUGAGCUCCAAAAGGUGGGGAUUCUCCAGCCACGAGUGCCCUCUGAAAUUCUAUCUUACUUAGAAUAAAAUAUCUAGAUUUAUACAGUGUCCCCUUGUAUGGGUGGUGGCUUUUUUUUUUUUUCUAUCAUUUUCCUGCUUGUUCACACCACUCUCUCCCUGGCCUUCUUAUGUCACAGAUUUCCUGAGUACACUCUGGCCUCAGUCUUUCCAUGAAGUAACUCUCCUUUCUAGAACAUUCUUGCCUGCAUAACUAUCUGCUUCUGUCCUCACUGUAUUCUGAUCUGUAUUUCUAUGUCAAUUUCCAGACAGGCAUUCUCUGCCCAUCCUCUAAAGUGUGCCCCCUGUCUUCUUUGCUGUUACCUGUAUGCCCUAAGUCUAAGUCACUGACCUUAUUGUAGACUAAAUUUGUUAGCAUUUCUUUCCAGGAUGCAAGCCUAGUGAUGAAGGAGUCAUUGUUCCAUUGUCAGAAUAGCUACAGAAUCCAGCCUGUUCUGCCCUGGAUGCUUUAUUAAGUAAUGAAGCUCAAUAAAACAAUUUGACCAAG
rnacentral:lncRNA from 1 species